GGAUGUGGUUCAGCUGGUAGAAUGCUUGCCUCGCAUGUACAAGGCCCUGGGUUCAAUUCCCAGCACCA
rnacentral:tRNA from 1 species